rnacentral:rRNA from 1 species
GUAGGUGGCAAGCGUUGUCCGGAAUUAUUGGGCGUAAAGCGCGCGCAGGCGGUUCUUUAAGUCUGAUGUGAAAGCCCACGGCUCAACCGUGGAGGGUCAUUGGCAACUGGAGAACUUGAGUACAGAAGAGGAAAGCGGAAUUCCACGUGUAGCGGUGAAAUGCGUAGAGAUGUGGAGGAACACCAGUGGCGAAGGCGGCUUUCUGGUCUGUAACUGACGCUGAGGCGCGAAAGCGUGGGGAGCAAACAGGAUUAGAUACCCUGGUAGUCCACGCCGUAAACGAUGAGUGCUAAGUGUUAGGGGGUUUCCGCCCCCCUUAGUGCUGCAGCUAACGCAUUAAGCACUCCGCCUGGGAUACGGCCGCAAGGCUG